CCUACGGGAGGCAGCAGUGGGGAAUAUUGGGCAAUGGGCGCAAGCCUGACCCAGCAACGCCGCGUGAAGGAAGAAGGCUUUCGGGUUGUAAACUACUUUUAAGAGGGAAGAGCGGAAGACGGUAACUCAUGAAUAAGCCACGGCUAACUACGUGCCAGAAGCCCGGGUAAUACGUAGGUGGCAAGCGUUGUCCGGAUUUACUGGGUGUAAAGGGCGUGUAGCCGGGCUGACAAGUCAGAUGUGAAAUGCCGGGGCUCAACCACGGACCUGCAUUUGAUACUGAUGGUCUUGAGUAUCGGAGAGGCAGGUAGAAUUCCUGGUGUAGCGGUGAAAUGUGUAGAUAUUAGGAGGAACACCAGUGGCGAAGGCGGCCUGCUGGACGACAACUGACGGUGAGGCGCGAAAGCGUGGGGAGCAAACAGGAUUAGAUACCCUAGUAGUC
rnacentral:rRNA from 1 species